GCUAAGUUAGCUUAAUUGGUAAAGCGGUUGUUUUGUAAUCAACAUAUUGGGGUUCAAGUCCCUAACUUGGUA